UUUUGUUGAAAAUGAGGUUGUAGCUCGUUGUCUACAUUACUACGGUUGAAAGAGGUGUCGUUUGUAUUUUAACAACGUUUCUGUAAUUAGUUAUUGAUCCGGGAAGUUCGAAUCUGUGAAUAUAUUUACAGCUUUACCGGACUGUUUGAGUGUGAAUAAAGAAAAAGGGGAAACGGAAAGGUUUUUGGAGACUUAUCUUUCGUCGCUUUGAAAGAUAAGACGUGUUGCCAUGGUUGUAACGGCAAUGCUGUAGUAUUAUGGUUAAUGUGCAUAUUAUAUACCGUAUUCGGGUGUUUUUUUUAUGCAUUGGGGCGGGUUUAGAGCAAUCAUUGGGCUGGGCAAUGACAAACGAAUCUGGCAACACCGUUGGUAUUAUUUUUAUCCAGAUCACGUGAUAACCGUCGCAAGCCGAGGAACAUACGUGCACGGAGACCACAAAGACUGUAGCAAGUGACAUAGAGUGAAUGAAAUACAUCAUGAAUACUUUUGUGUUGGUGUUUGGUCUGGCUCUCCUGGGGCUUGGCUCUGCACUUCAGUGUUACUCAUGUGACAACUCUGCCUGUGAUAGUAUUCAGUCUUGCAAAACUGAAGAUUCAUGUCUGUCACUCACUGGCUCAGGAGGUUUCAAAGCCAAGCGUUGCAUUGCGUAUACAGAUUGCGAUAUAUUGAAACUCGGCCAGAGUUUCCCUGGUGUUUCCAGCAUUAAAUUCAGUUGCUGUAACUCUAACCUGUGUAACGCAGCCUCCGUGUCAGUUGCCAGCCACUCUGUGCUGGGAAUACUGCUCUCACUUUCACUCUUCUUAUGGUUGGUUAUCUAAAUUGUUCACAAAUAAAACCCCAUAAUUGGCACUGUUCCUCCUUUCAAGGGCAUCUCAAAUGUUCAUAUGCACAUUGUUCAGACAAAUUAACAAGUACAAAAGAGUGGGGGGAGGAGGGGGGGACUUACUGAAUCUGAUGUGCACUAUUUGUUGGCCACCAAUAAACUUGAUCACAGUUUCUUUAGAAAACAUUCAUAUAAAAGUAAAAAUGUUUUCCAUUCUCAUUUACAAUUUGACAUUUUAUCACUUUUUUUAGGAUUUCUUUUUUCUAAAACACUUCACAGUAUAAUACUAUCACAAAUGUAAUUACAGUUUUUACUAUUCCAGAAGAAGUGUAUGUGUAUAUGCACCUUGUAUUAUCACAGCAUCUUAUAUCAAGUGUUUGCUCUAGUCUAAUGUACUGGAAUUAUUGAAGCAUAGAUGGAAUGUUAUGUACUUAUCUACUGAAAUGAAUGUGUUAUUUUGGAUGUAGAACACACUUGUGGACAACUUUUUCAGUACUUUUUGGGUUUAAGAUACUGUAAAUGAUGAGAGCAAUUAGAAGUGGCUUUAAUAUGAAAUACAAUAUUGCCAAAGCAUUGUGUGUAGAACUGCCAUAAUAAAUAAAGGAUGGGAAUCAAAAAAAUUUCUUGUCAUGAAUGUUUC